rnacentral:rRNA from 1 species
CCUACGGGGGGCAGCAGUGGGGAAUAUUGGACAAUGGGGGCAACCCUGAUCCAGCCAUGCCGCGUGUGUGAAGAAGGCCCUCGGGUUGUAAAGCACUUUCAGUGAGGAAGAACGCCUGGUGGUUAAUACCCAUCAGGAAAGACAUCACUCACAGAAGAAGCACCGGCUAACUCCGUGCCAGCAGCCGCGGUAAUACGGAGGGUGCGAGCGUUAAUCGGAAUUACUGGGCGUAAAGCGCGCGUAGGUGGCUUGAUAAGCCGGUUGUGAAAGCCCCGGGCUCAACCUGGGAACGGCAUCCGGAACUGUCAAGCUAGAGUGCAGGAGAGGAAGGUAGAAUUCCCGGUGUAGCGGUGAAAUGCGUAGAGAUCGGGAGGAAUACCAGUGGCGAAGGCGGCCUUCUGGACUGACACUGACACUGGGGUGCGAAAGCGUGGGUAGCAAACAGGAUUAGAUACCCCAGUAGUC